AUUGAACGCUGGCGGCAGGCCUAACACAUGCAAGUCGAGCGGAGCGGCGGACGGGUGAGUAAUGCCUAGGAAUCUGCCUGGUAGUGGGGGAUAACGUCCGGAAACGGGCGCUAAUACCGCAUACUAUCAGAUGAGCCUAGGUCGGAUUAGCUAGUUGGUGGGGUAAAGGCCUACCAAGGCGACGAUCCGUAACUGGUCUGAGAGGAUGAUCAGUCACACUGGAACUGAGACACGGUCCAGACUCAUACGUGAGGCGGGGGUGGGGAGUAGUGGACAAUGGGCGAAAGCCUGAUCCAACCAUGCCGCGUGGGUGAAGAAGGUCUUCGUAUGGUAAAGCUCUUUAAGUUGGGAGGCGUUACCAACAGAAUAAGCACCGGCUAACUUCGUGCCAGCAGCCGCGGUAAUAC
rnacentral:rRNA from 1 species